rnacentral:lncRNA from 1 species
ACGCCGUGGGGGGGCCGUAACCGGGCGAGCCGGGCUGGGGGGGCCGCGGGAUGUGUUUGUUCUUCUUCUUGGGCAGCUUCUGCUUGGCCAUGGCUAACGAGUAAUACAUACCGAAGUUGUUGACGAUGACGGGGACGGGCAUGGCGAUGGUGAGGACCCCCGCCAGGGCGCACAGAGCCCCCACCAGCAUCCCCGACCAGGUCAUGGGGUACAUGUCCCCGUAACCCAGCGUGGUCAUGGUGACCACGGCCCACCAGAACCCGAUGGGGAUGUUUUUGAAGUAGGUGUGACGGCUCCCGGUGACGUCGUCCGGGUCGGCGCCGAUGCGCUCGGCGUAAUAAAUCAUGGUGGCAAAAAUGAGGACGCCCAGCGCCAGGAAAAUGACCAGCAGCAGGAACUCGUUGGUGGACGCCCGCAAAGUGUGACCCAGAACCCGCAGCCCCACAAAGUGCCUGGUCAGCUUGAAGAUACGAAGGAUGCGAACGAAGCGGACGACGCGGAGGAAACCCAGAACGUCCUUGGCUGCUUUGGAGGACAAACCGCGCAGCCCCACCUCCAGGUAGAAGGGCAGGAUGGCCACGAAGUCGAUGAUGUUCAGGCUGCUCUUGACGAAAUCCCGUUUAUCCGGGCAGAAGCUGACCCUCAUCAGGAACUCGAAGGUGAACCACACCACGCACGUGCCUUCCACGUAGGUCAGGAACGGCUCCGUCUCCACCUCCACCACGGCCACGGGGGCGGCCGUCCCGUUCCCUGCGGCCACCGUCUCCGUCUUGUUGAUGACCCGGUUGAAGGCUUCGUGGGUCUCCAGGCAGAAGGUGGUGAUGGAGAUGAGGAUGAAGAAGAGGGAGGCGAAGGCCACGUACUGCGGGGAGAGAGUUGGGGGUCAGGGUAGGGGGCCACAAGACCCUCCCACCCUUGGUUGGAUCCCAAUGGUUGGGUUGGAUCCCAACAGCUGGGUUGGAUUCCAAAGGUUGGGUUGGAGAACAUGGAAAGGGAUAGAAGAGUAUAAAGAUAGGAGAGAAAUGGGGAGGAGGAAGAGGGAGGUGAAGGCCACGUACUGCAGGGAGAGAGUUGGGGGUCAGGGUAGGGGGGCCACAAGACCCUCCCACCCUUGGUUGGAUCCCAAUGGUUGGGUUGGGAAACAUGGAAGGGGUUUGGGGAGUGUGGAGAAAAAUGAUGAAUGAUGGAGAUGAGGAUGAAGAAGAGGGAGGCGAAGGCCACGUACUGCGGGGAGAGAUUUUGGAGUCAGGGUAGGGGGGCCACAAGACCCUCCCACCCUUGGCUGGAUCCCAAUGGUUGGGUUGGAUCCCAACGGCUGGGUUGGAUUCCAAUAGUUGGGUUGGAGAACAUGGAAAGGGAUAGAAUACUAUAGAGAUAGGAGAGAAAUGGGGAGGAGGAAGAGGGAGGUGAAGGCCACGUACUGCAGGGAGAGAGUUUAGGGUCAGGGUAGGGGGGCCACAAGACCCUCCCAUCCUUGGUUGGAUCCCAACGGCUGGGUUGGAUCCCAGCAGCUGGGUUGGAGAACAUGGAAAGGGAUAGAAGUCUAUAAAGAUAGGAGAGAAAUGGGGAGGAGGAAGAGGGAGGUGAAGGCCACGUACUGCAGGGAGAGAGUUGGGGGUCAGGGUAGGGGGCUACAAGACCCUCCCACCCUUGGUUGGAUCCCAAUGGUUGGGUUGGAUCCCAACGGUUGGGUUGGGAACACAGAAGGGGUUUGAGAACUAUAGAGAUGGGAUAGGAAUGGGGAGGAAGAGGGAGAAGGCUGUGUAUUGUGGGGAGAGAGUUUGGGGUCAGGGGGCCAAAGACCCUCCUACCCUCCUUGGUUAGGUCCCAACAGUUGGUUGGAUCCCAAUGGUUGGGCUGGGAACACGGAAGAGGAUUGGGGAGCAUAGAGAUGGAACAGAAAUCGGGAAGAAGAAGAGGAAGGAGAAGACCAUGUAUUGUGGGGAGAGAGUUUGGGGUCACAGGGGUCAGGGUAGGGGGGCUACAAGACCCUCCCACCCUUGGUUGGAUCCCAAUAAUUGGGUUGGAUCCCAAUGGUUGGGUUGGGGAACACAGAAGGAGGACCACAGGCACAGAGAAUAGAGAUGGCGAGGAAGAGGAGGGAGAUGAAGGCCACGUACUGCGGGGAGAGAGUUUAGGGAGGAGGGGGUAUGGUGUCUAAAAGCCCCCCCCCCCCCCCGGGUG